UUUAUUNCAUUGAAUAUUUGCACAUGAUUGUUAGAUAUGUUCAAAAGAUAUUGGAAAAUUAAUGUCUUUUAGGAUGAUAAAGAGAAGGAUCAGUUCUUACAUUUAAGUUUUUAUUUACGUAUCUGAUUUAUGUGAUGCUCCAAUGUUUAGCCUCUUUUUUGGUUGUCCUUCCAUCUAUCUCAAAUCAUUGUUCAUUUUCUUAAACAAACUCAUUUAUUUUCUUCCUGAAAUCCCUCCAUUAAACUGACAUUUUUGCACAUCAACUUUCUUUCACAUGAACAACUCUUUCUUCUAAUGUGUAGUAUUUGCUAUUUUAACCUUCUAUCUAAUUUUUUACUUUUGCAGUAAUAGGUUAUGAAAUCAUUUUCUUGUAUGUGUUAUUAAGGACUUUUGGCUUUUGUUUACAAAUGUAUUAUUUAGUUGAGCAAUAUGGGAUUUGGGAAAAUUCUGUUUCCCUACUAAGUGCAUUGGAAAAAUGACAAGUUAACCUACAAACCAUACUCAUCCAAACAAGCGCAAUUUCUUCUUAUCUUCUUCAAGGGUUCCACAUGAAAACAUGCAAGUUCCUCUUUAUAGACCUGCUCAUUUUUUAAUUCUUCUGGGAGUCUUGUUUUUUGUGCUUAUUCUAUUUGAAAAUGAUUCAGGUUGCAAUAAGGAUUGGUGCUUCAUUUGUGAGUUUGAAGGUCUGAUUCUAAAGGGAUAGGAACUGAGAUCUAGUUUAUCUCCAAUUAGGAUACUGUCUCAAAUUCUAAAGUCAUCUAAGUCAUGGAAGACAAGAAGAUGCCCACGAGUUUUUGAGGUAUGUAGUGCGAAGUAGUUUUAAUUUUGGUUUAAGAAUUUGCAACUAAAUAUGUUGACUUUGAUUUUGUUUCUGCACAUCAGGUAUGCAGUAGAUGCAAUGAGGCCUUAGUGGGGGAGCAUUGAGAAUCUGAAAGAAUUCCCUAGUGUGCACUUUGUAUACUGAGAUAAUUGCAAGAAGUGGAUAAAUCACCCAAUUUGAUGACUAUAGUAGAUGCAAUGAGGCCUUAAUGGUUUUAUUUUUUUUAUUUUUAUUUAUUUACGUAUUUUUUAGGUAUUUUACAAUUUUUGAUAUGGAUUUUGUAUUAAUAUUGUUACAUUUUAGAGUUCAAUUAAUAAUGAUUAUUGAAAUUA
rnacentral:lncRNA from 1 species